rnacentral:rRNA from 1 species
UUUUUAUUAAGACAAUGAAUUUUACUUUUUAGUAAGAAGGCUAAAAUGACUCUUAAAGACGAGAAGACCCUAUAAAACUUUCAUAUUAUAAGAAGGUUAAAUAUUUUUAUAAUAUUAUGCUGGGGCGGCAGGAAAAUUUGACUUUUCUUGAAAAGAGAAAGAAAAAGCUUAUAAUAACCAAAAGUUUUGAAAAAGAAAUAAGUUACUUUAGGGAUAACAGCUUAAUUUGUUUUGAUAGUUCUAAUUGACAAAUGAGAUUAUGACCUCGAUGUUGAAUUAAGAAACCUU